rnacentral:rRNA from 1 species
AUGACAAUCGAGGAGGCGAUAGGUCGCCUCAAGGUCGUGGACACCGACGAGCCACAGCCUUCCUCAGGGCCCAUCACCACCGGCGGGAUGCUGCUCCUAACUCGGGAGCCGUGGGAUGCCAGCCUUGGCGACAGGAAGAAGGGGGAGCCUUCUUCCACGACGGGCGGCCGCAAGCGUGGCAAGCAGCGUAAGGCGCGAAGAGGCCCCCCGGGCAGGGCACAAGGACGUGCCGAAGGUGACGCCCGCGGAGGCGCCAAGGACAGCGCCGCUGGCAAGCCCAAGCCGGCACAAGACAACAGUUGCCACAACUGUGGCCGGUUUGGCCAUUGGGCCAAUGAGUGUCGGCAACCACGACAAGGCCAGACUCACGUCGCAUAG